rnacentral:rRNA from 1 species
GAUGAACGCUGGCGGCGUGCCUAAUACAUGCAAGUCGAGCGAACGGACGAGAAGCUUGCUUUUCUGAUGUUAGCGGCGGACGGGUGAGUAACACGUGGAUAACCUACCUAUAAGACUGGGAUAACUUCGGGAAACCGGAGCUAAUACCGGAUAAUAUUUUUGAACCGCAUGGUUCAAAAGUGAAAGACGGUCUUGCUGUCACUUAUAGAUGGAUCCGCGCUGCAUUAGCUAGUUGGUAAGGUAACGGCUUACCAAGGCAACGAUGCAUAGCCGACCUGAGAGGGUGAUCGGCCACACUGGAACUGAGACACGGUCCAGACUCCUACGGGAGGCAGCAGUAGGGAAUCUUCCGCAAUGGGCGAAAGCCUGACGGAGCAACGCCGCGUGAGUGAUGAAGGUCUUCGGAUCGUAAAACUCUGUUAUUAGGGAAGAACAUAUGUGUAAGUAACUGUGCACAUCUUGACGGUACCUAAUCAGAAAGCCACGGCUAACUACGUG